rnacentral:rRNA from 1 species
UACGUAGGGUGCAAGCGUUGUCCGGAAUCAUUGGGCGUAAAGCGCUCGUAGGUGGUCAUGUAAGUCCGCUGUGAAAGUCAAAGGCUCAACCUUUGAAAGCCGGUGGAUACUGCAUGACUAGAGUACGGAAGAGGCGAGUGGAAUUCCUGGUGUAGCGGUGGAAUGCGCAGAUAUCAGGAGGAACACCAAUAGCGAAGGCAGCUCGCUGGGACGUUACUGACACUGAGGCGCGAAAGCGUGGGGAGCGAACAGG